UACAGAGGGUGCGAGCGUUGUUCGGAAUUAUUGGGCGUAAAGGGCGCGUAGGCGGUGCGGUAAGUCACCUGUGAAAUCUCCUGGCUCAACUGGGAGCUUGCAGGCGAAACUGCCGUGCUGGAGUGUGGGAGAGGUGCGUGGAAUUCCCGGUGUAGCGGUGAAAUGCGUAGAUAUCUGCAGGAACACCCGUGGCGAAAGCGGCGCGCUGGACCACUACUGACGCUGAGGAACGAAAGCUAGGGGAGCAAACAGG
rnacentral:rRNA from 1 species